GUCCACGCCGUAAACGAUGAGUGCUAGGUGUUGGGGACCCCUCAGUGCCGUAGGUAACCCAAUAAGCACUCCGCCUGGGGAGUACGGUCGCAAGACUGAAACUCAAAGGAAUUGACGGGGCCCGCACAAGCGGUGGAGCAUGUGGUUUAAUUCGAAGCAACGCGAAGAACCUUACCAGGGCUUGACAUCCCGCUGAUCGGUGUAGAGAUAUGCCUUUCCCCUUCGGGGGACAGCGGUGACAGGUGGUGCAUGGUUGUCGU
rnacentral:rRNA from 1 species